GUCGAAUCAAAACGGAUAACAUCAUACACCAGCUUCACACUUUUACUUAAAUCGCGUAGUCUUUCAAUGAUGGGCUUUACGCGAACAGACUGAAGAGGUAUGAAUGUCUGAGGAGGAAGCCUUUGUUCUUUCAAAUACUUUAUACAUUCUUUUCCUGUAUGUUCAUCCUGAACAACCACGGCAUCCAUAAAUUUACCCAUUGCAACAGUAACAGCCAGGUUGUACUUCUUCUGUAUUGGACGACAAAGAUCAGUCAUGCGACCAUGAACUCCUUGAAACAGCCGUUUCAAAGUUUCAACAGCUUGAGAUAAUUUAGCAUCUCUUUCAUUUUCAUAUCU
rnacentral:misc_RNA from 1 species